rnacentral:lncRNA from 1 species
CCGGAAGCCGCGUCGAGAUGCCGGAGCCCCCGGGCCUUGGAGAUGAAGGCAGGCCCCUGCUCCACCCAGGAAGGAGGGAGGCAGUGGGCUCGUGGGUCAGUGCCUUUGCAGGCGACAGCACGCCUUGCGGCCCUGGGGAUCUUUCUGUGCCCCGGCGAGAGCCUUUCCGCCUCACUGCAUUGUAACCCCAUUCCCGAUCACCGGGUGGGAUCCAUCAUCGGAUCCCAAGAGGAGUCCGCGCAGCCCAGCCGACACCCCGAAGCUCCUCCUUCACCGAGAACCCAAGCAGAAGACCGAUCAAGGAGGUCCUGACGACAGGACUCCUAUGGGUCCGACCCUGGGUCUCCCGCAGGCCCCUCUGGUAGUCCUCUUCCCACCCGCCGCCCGGGGCUGCGCCGCAGCCGCCGCCGCAACCUCCAGCACCGCCGCCCCAGUCCCCGCAGCCGCCGCGUCGCCGCCAUUUUUUAAAGGGUCCGCAGCCUGACUCUGCCGAGUAAGGGGGGGUGGGGCGGGUGAGUCGGCCUCGCCAGUGCGCAUGCGCGAGGCCCGAGCCGCCGCUUUGGUCACAGUGACCGCCACCGUCGCCGGGGGAUGGGUCCCUGAGACUUGGCGAAGUAGGAGCCCUGUGUGAUCGUGCGUCAGAGUCGGGGCUGAGACCAGCCCUGGCCAGGGCAGUUACCAGGACGGUCUCCGGAGGCCGGGAUUCGCGGAGGGUCCACCAGCAGGAAGAAACCCCAGGAGGAAGAAACCUCAGACAGAUCGCCGGGGAGGCAGCGCGGGAUCCCAGCCUCAGGCGUGCGCGGACGGUGUGCGGAGUCUAGCUUUGUACCAGGCUGCAGUGCAGUAGUGCCAUCUCAGCUCACUGCAACCUCUGCCUCCCGGGUUCAAGCGAUUGUCCUGCCUCAGCCUCCCGAGUAGCUGGGAUUACAGCCACAUGCCACCACACCCAGCUAAUGUUUGUAUUUUUAGUAGAUACGGGGUUUCAUCAUGUUGCCCAGGAUGCUCUUAAUUUCCUGACCUCGUGAUCCGCCCAUCUCGGCCUCCCAAAAUGCUGGGAUUACAGGCAUGAGCCACCAGAACCGGACAUGCUUUGCUUAAAAGCUAAAUAUUUUAGGCUUGUGUGCCAUUAGGCUCUGUUACAACUACUUAAUUCUGCUUUUGUAAUUCUAUAGCACCCAUUGAUAAUACAUAAACAAAUGAGCAUGAAUGUGUCUCAGUAAAAAUUUGUUCACAUAAACAGGCAGUCCACCCAUGAAGCUAUAGCUUGCUGACCCCUUGUUUAAACAAUCAAUUGAAUUCAAACAGAAAUAAAAGGAUCUUAUAUAUUUAACCAUGUUGAUACCAUUUCCAGUGCUUUUCAUUCUUCUAUGUAGAUCCAAAUUUCCUUUUGAUAUUAUUUUACUUCUGCCUGAAACAUUUUCUUUAACAUUUUUUAUAGUGUUGUUUUACUGGUGAUGAUUUCUUUCAGGUUCUAAGUGCCUGAACAAAAUCUUUAUUUCACCUACAUCUUGAAAGAUAGUUUCUCUGAGUCUACAAUUCCCAGCUGACAAUGUUUAUCUUCCAGUACUUUAAAGAUGUUGCUUCAUUAUCUUCUAAUUUUCUUUGUUUCCAAUAAAAUGUUUGCUGGCAUUUUUUGUUCCUCUGUGCAAACUGUGUUUUUGUCAUUGGCCGCUUUGAGAAUUUUUCUUUAUCACUAGUUUUAAGCAAUUUUAUUUUAGUGUAUUUUGUGCACAAGACAAGGAUGCCCUCUCUCACCACUCCUGUUCAACAUAGUAUUGGAAGUCCUUGCCAAAACAGUUAGGCAAGAGAAAGAAAUAAAGGGUACCCAAAUAGGAAGAAAGGACGUCAAACUAUCCCUGUCUGUGGAUUACAUGAUCCUAUAUGUAGAAAACUUUAUAGGCCCAAAAGCUUAAGGCCCGAAAGCUCCUUAAGAUGAAAAACACCUUUGGCAGAGUCUCAGGAUACAAAAAGAACAUACAAAAAUUACUCGCAUUCCCAUACACCAACAAGAGUCAAGCGGAGAGCCAAAUCAGGAAUGCAAUCUGAUUCACAAUUGCUGCAAAAAGAAUCAAAUACCUAGGAAUACAACUAACUAGUGAGGUGAAAGAUCUCUGUAAGAACUAAAAACACCAAAGAUAUCAGAGAGGAUGAAACAAAUGAAAAAACAUUCUAUGCUCAUGGAUAGGAAGAAUCAAUAUCAUUAAAAUGGCCAUAUUGUCCUUAUUUUCAAGUAUGCUAUUGCGCUCUAUGACUGAUCCAAACUCCUGCCAGAUAUAAUUCUAAAAAUCUGUUUGUUAAUUUUAUUAUUUUAUUUUUGGAUUUUUAAAUGCUUGGGAAUUGGGAGAUAUGCACAAUUGCCUUUGCUUUGUUCACAAAAUUAAAUGCGUAUUUGGGUACUUAUAGGACACUAUUUGUAAAAACAUUUAUUUCUUCAGACAUUGAUGGUCUUGUCCCAGUUAUUAACAACAUCUACAUGUUUAAGAAUAAAUUUUCUAUCUACUUCUUAUUCCAUUGAAAAUUACCUUUCUAUCCUCCUACUCUGGAAGUCUUUAUGAUUCUGUCCUAAUCAUUAGUAUCCCAUUGCUUCUUCAAGA